rnacentral:rRNA from 1 species
UAGUGACCUGCGGAGGAUCAUUGUCGA